AUUGAACGCUGGCGGCAGGCCUAACACAUGCAAGUCGAGCGAGCGGCGGACGGGUGAGUAAUGUCUGGGGACUGCCCGAUAGAGGGGGAUAACUACUGGAAACGGUAGCUAAUACCGCAUACUGUAGGAUAGCCCAGAUGGGAUUAGCUAGUAGGUAAGGUAAUGGCUAACUUAGGCGACGAUCCCUAGCUGGUCUGAGAGGAUGAUCAGCCACACUGGGACUGAGACACGUCCAAGACUCCUACGGAGGCAGCAGUGGGGAAUAGUGCACAAUGGGCACAAGCCUGAUGCAGCCAUGCCGCGUGUAUGAAGAAGGCCAUAGGGUUGUAAAGUACUUUCAGUCGGGAGGCGUUACUGACAGAAGAAGCACCGGCUAACUCCGUGCCAGCAGCCGCGGUAAUUC
rnacentral:rRNA from 1 species